ensembl:lncRNA
CUGCAUUUCAGCUGCUGUCACUGCUCUGAGCGAAGUUCUGCUACAUCACUGGCACUUUCUUUGUCCAGUAACAUGACUAGCAAAAAAAUAAUUGCAGUGUUUGGAGCGACUGGUAAAAAACUUCUUCCUUUUAAAGUGCAUGCUCACUUUGCUUACUUUCCUGCUUCCUGUUUUUAACUUCAGAGCCUGUAAGCAUGGGCUGAACAAAGAGCCCUUUGGAGGAAAUGAAGAAAACCAGAGCCAUCUGCCCAGGUGUUGCCCUCUCCAUGAGCACUUUCCAGAGCUCCAGACUUAAAAUAGCAACUCUGCUCCUGCCACUCUCUGGCACUCUCUGGCUGCCAGCUCUGCUUGAUUUCUUCCAUUACUGCCUGUCUUACCACUCUAGAGUAUAAGCUCUAUGAAGACCGGGAUUUUGUCUGAAGGGUGGCAAAGGCUCAAACAGGGAGAAGAGAGAAAUAAGUUCUCAAAAGCCAACAGCCAGGUAUGAUAUUGACUUUAGAAGGAAAAAAGAGAUAAUGAGAUGAUUGUGUAAAGCAUUAGGGUGAGGGUGAGGAUGUUGGUUUUACCUGAAAGAGAUGAGAAGCCAUUGAAGGAUUUUGAGUAGCAUUAUGAUAUAAUAAGACUUUGGUGUUAAAAGAUUCCUUUUCUUUUCUGUUUUGUGAAAAGACUGUAGGACAAGGGCUGAAGCCAGAAGACCUUUUAGGAAGCUGUUGCCAUAAGCCAGGCAAGAAGAUAAUGGCUUAGACCAGGGUGGUAGCAGUGAGGUGGUGGAGAGUAGUCAAAUUCUGGGUAUGUCUUAAAGAGAGUUGAUAGGCUUCAUAGGGUUCACUGACAGACCAGAUAUGAGAGGUGAGAAGAGAGGAGUGAAGAAUGACUUCAAAGUGUUCUGGCCUGAGUAACUGGAAGGAUGGAGUUGUGAUUCACUGAUAUGGGGAAGACUGGGGGUGGGGGGGCAGGACAAGGAAGGUUGGGAGCUCAGUUUAGUCUCAUUAAACUUGAGUUGCUGCCUAGGUAUCUAGGCUAGGCAGUUGGAUAAGAGCCUUGGGAAUAGCUCCUGAAGGAAUCAGGUUAGAUGUGUCAGAGUUGAAGAAAGUUGAUUCCCGGUUAGCUAAAGGGGUGGGCUUGUUACCAAAACGUUGGAUUCUUAUUGUCCCCCAGGAUGGAAAUCAAGAGAGACAACAAAUGGGAGUAGAAAAGUAAAAGUCUAUUAGCUUGUGCACAGGACAUGCACAAGGGAGCCAGUGCAGAAAAGAAAGGGGCAGGUGAGCGGCUUGUUAGGGAAUGGGACUGUGGGGCUUUUAUUAGGCAAAGGCUGGGGAGGAGUGCCUUGUCGUGGCAUGUAAAGGUGGGGUUGUGCUUGCACCUGUGCUGUCUCAUAACAUGCUCCUACAUGCGAUGCAUGUAUCAUUAGCAUGCUAGCUCUCCAUCCCUGGGUGUGAUUUUUGCUAUGCUAAUGGUGCUAGGGUCACCUUCAGUGGACUCCUGGGUGCUAGGGUGCAUGCAUAAGCCCAGGAAAGUCCAGAGGCUGUGGAAUGUGGACCUUGGUGGUCUCUAUCUGAUUCUCCUAGUUUGCCCAUUGGUUAGGGGCCUUACAUUGUUAGGCCAGAGUCCUUGCAGAUGGCCCUGUCUCGUUAGGCUGGUUCCUGUCUCAUUCCCCGUUGAGAGAUUUUAUCCUCCUUAAUCUUACAGAUCAUGGGCAAAAUUCUCUUCUUCUGAAGCUACUUCCUGCUAACAGGGGCCAUUGAGAAGGGGGCCAUAUAUCCAGGAGGAGUAAAAAUCUUUUUCAGCUUGUUGCAGGGUCUGAUAGGAAUGAGAAUGAGGGCCUGGUGGGUCAGCCAUUGGAAGUGGCUGGAAUCCUUGCAUGACCAUCAGUUUAUUGUGGAAUUGCUGGAGCCUAGAGGAAACAAACUUGGCAAGAAGGUUAAAAAGACAGGGACAAAAAUUAACAGGAGUAGGAUGAUUACCAGGGAUCCCAAGAAG